rfam:Trichobilharzia regenti genome assembly, scaffold: TRE_contig0021300
GUACCGCUGAGGAGUCGCAAACUAGGACGAAACAGCUGUCCAGUAC